rnacentral:rRNA from 1 species
UUCCCAUUCCGAACACAGAAGUUAAGCUCUCUAGCGCUGAUGGUACUUGGUGGGAAACUGCCUGGGAGAGUAGGACGUAGCCACGUU